GAGAGAUGAAAUAGUGAUACGAUCAAAUUGUGCUAUUCUACAAGUUCCUUGAUGCAAGGCAGGAAGGUCUGACUAGUAAUCCCUGGGAAAUGGGUGACUGAAUCCUGUCUUUGCCUUGGCUGCAGUAGCAUCCAUGCACCUGGAUGCAAUAGCUGAAGCAGGUGCUUACCUCUAAAGACUACAGGGAAGCCCCCUUAUUAUCCUGCAUAGACACCAAAUAUGGGAGCAGCAGUUUAUCUACUGGAGAUGCUGGCAGGGGUAGCCAGUCCUUCCCUGCAGGAAGACUACACCAGGUCUCUUCAUCCUGUGCAUUGUAUCGGAUAACAGUGCCACCCUAGGAUGAAUAGGUGCAGCAUACUAAUCUGCUGGAAGGGAGAACAUAGGUGGCAUAAGAAUAAUGAGAGACUCUAAAAGCAGGAAAACUCCUACUUUAGGUAGCCUGUGAAGAAUUUGACAAACGUCACUGUGAAUAGGUAACUCCAAGUGACUGGAAAUCUACUGUUUUCUGAUGCUCUGAGACAAAAGAGAACUGCACCAGAAUAUGGCAAGUGCAACAUUCGAAGCAGAGAUGCUAUCUUAGUGCAGUUAUGAAAAUUGGAUCACUGUGUUUUACUUAGUUUUUAUUCACUGCCCACUGGAGUUAGUGAGAAGGGAUUUCAGUGCUGGACAUUCAAAUGAAAGGCGAGUGCUGCUGUUGUUUUUCCAGGUAUCUGAUGACUCCCCUUACUCAACCAAAUAUGAACUGACUUUGAAGGGCUUAACUAUUCCUAGCAGGAGUGAUAGCUGUCACACUGCUCAGAGGCAGACUUUAGAAUCAGAGCAAUGUUUGACAAGAAAGAAUGUGUGUUGGCAGCCUUGCUUGAGCCACAUUUCAAGAGCUAUAGAGAAACCAGAGCACUUCCAUGGGAUGACAGAAAAGCUGCUGUUUCAGGGGAAGAGCCAGAGGCCACAUCACUGUCAUUCUUCUCUGCUUCGCAAUCUGCAAAACUCCUUGGAACAACACCUUAGAGCACUUAUGGGACAGUAGAAGCAAUAACAGUUACAAUGACAGCCCAGUACUAGCAAGAUAAUCUAUUAGUGCAACAUUUAUGGCUGUGAUGGAGCAUAUGCUCCAGCAUGAGCUCAUUGCCAUACUACCCAGAGCAGAGUAGCAUUGCUGAGGCCAGCAGGUUGCAUGACACAAGUCCAUGCACACAAGGGAAGACUUCUUAUUUAUUUAU